AAUUUUUUCCCAAAUUGUCUUUGCUCUGUAGUGUAGACGUAUAUUGAGAGGUGCUGUUUUGGUGUGUAUGUGUACUUGUUCUGUUGUCAUGGUGUAAGGGUGUUUCUGAUUUGUUGCAAAUCUAAGUGCUUUGUUUUGAACUUUUUGAAGUUUGCUAAUUUGGUUAUUGCUCAUUGUGUGCAUAGGGAUUGGAGGGUAAUCAAGUAUUGGUAGUAUUAGUGCUUUUACUAAGUGUAUUUUUAUUUUCUCUGGCAUGUUAUGUAACUUGUAGAGUUUUUGUAGUGACGCUAUUGCUAUAUUUUUACGCUCCUGUAUAUGUUUGUAGUAGCCACCUGUAGUUAUGGUUAGACCAAGGCAUUUGCCGGUACUUUUAAAUUCUAUUUCUUCUUCGUUAAUGAUGAGUGGAAAGGUAAGUUUUGCUCCAAGGUGCAGAGGGGUGAAUUUAUUAACAUUGGUUUUUAUUUUCCAGUUCCUUUCGUAGUUAUUAAUUGCUGUUAUUGCUCUCUCUGUUUUUAUAUUGAGCAUGUUCUUGGACCUUCCUGGGUAGCCAAUUAUUUGUGUUAUGUCGUCUGCAAAACUGAUGUUAAGGGUUUGUAUAGGUUGUUGAAUAUCAUUGGUGUAAAUUGUGAAGAGUGUUGGUGACAGAACACUCCCUUGUGGUACACCGCAGUUUAAAUUAAAUGUAGGACCAAUGUAAUGAUUAACUUUAAUGGAUGCUGUGCGAUCAGAUAAAAAGUCGCAUAAAAAUUUUUCUAUUGUAAUAGGGAGUUGUAGUUGUAGGAUUUUAUGCUUAAGACCGAGGUGCCAGACUUGAUCAAAAGCUUUAGAUAUGUCUCUUAGUAUGACUUGGCACUGGCCUUUAUCUGAUUUAUUGUGUGCUAUUUGUUCUGUGAUGACUGCUAGUGCUUGUGUGGUGCCUCUAUUACUACGAAAACCGAACUGGUAAGUGUUAUAUAAGUUAUUAAUUUCUAGGUGUGUUUUUAGCCUUGAAUUUAUCACUCGCUCAAGGAUUUUGCCUGGUACUUCUAAUAGCGUUAUUGGUCUGUAAUUUUGAGCCUGUUGAGGGGAUUUAUUUUGUUUAGGGAUUAGUCUGAUGAUUCCGUUUUUCCACUUGUCGGGAAAAUAGCCUGCUGAGAUAGUGCUGUUGAAUAUUUCUGUUAGUCUAAUUAUUGCUGUGUCUGGUAGGUGUGUUAAGAUUGUUUUAUUAAUUCCACUUCGUCCCGGGCUAGUUCUUUUUAGCUGCUUUAUGAUGUUUUUUAAUUCUUCUGUAGUUAUUGUCGUGUCAGUGUGUUGUGUGUUGAGUCUGGUAAUGUCAGAGUUAUUGUAAGGAAUUGUUCUGUGGGUGUUAUUUCUGAUGUUAUGUAAGACAAUCUCAUUUUCCAUGUGGUCUUCCUCUCCAUCCUCCUCUCCACUAAAGAUUUCUUGCCAGUACUCUCUGUGUACUUCCUCUUUUUCUCUGUCGGUGUAUACUUUGUUGUUAUGUUUGUUCCUAAUGUAGUGGGGUUCGUUCUCUCUGUUGCCUGUCAGUAGUUUAAUUUUCUUCCAGAAUGUUGUAGGAUCUCUAUAAGUGCUCGAAACUUCAUUUAUUAGUCUGUACCAGUGUUCUCUAUUUUCCUGUAUUAAAGCUUCGUGUAGUAGUGUUUGUAGUUGUUUGUAGUAUCUGUAAUUCUGAUAGGACCAACCGUGUGCACGUGAGUAAGUCUGUAGUUCUGUAAAAAGUGUCUUAAGUAGUUUUGUAGUGUCUGUGUGUUUGGGUGAUGGUAGACAUUUGUAACGUGUAGUGGGUAUGGCUUGUUUCAUAGCUUGCUCUAUUGCCUGGUGCCAGUUUUCAGUGGCAGUGUCUAUUGUUUCAAGUGUUUCUUCGUGUAGUGUGUUUGUGUGUAGUGUGUUGGUGACAUGUCUUUUAAAUGUUUCCCAAUUUGCUUUAUUGUAGUUGGGUCUUGGUGGAGCUGGAAUGGGUAUAGGGGCUGUGGCUAUUGUGUAAAUUAUUGGAAUGUGAUCGCUUGUGGUGAGGGGUCCUUCUACUGCAUGUGUGUUGUGGUAUGUGCGGUGGUUUGUAAGUAUAAUGUCUGGUGUUGUGCCUCUUCUGUGUGUAUAAUAAGUAGGAAAAUAUGGUCCGACAUGUUGUAUUAGUCUGUUUUGUAUUAAAGUGUUGAUUUGUCUGCCUUUGUUGUUGCUGUGAGUGUAUCCUAAGUUGGGGUGAUUUGCAUUUAAGUCAGCCAGCAUGUAUACUGGACAGGUACGUCUAAACAAUUUAGUGAAGUCAGGUAUGGGUAUAUAUGUUCUUGAUGGUGGUUGAUAUAAAGUUGAAAUUAUUAUUUUUCCUGUGGUGGUACUUAUUUCUACUGCAAGUAGAUCUGAUAGGAAAUCAUCAAGUAGUUUAUAUUGUAUGUUCUUUUUUAUUGCUAUAGCUGUGCCAUCUGACGCAUUAUUGAGGGUAUUUUUCGUGUGUACUCUGUAUCCAGGAAUUUUCAUUGGUGUGUUUUCUUGUAUGCCGUGGCUGUUUAUGAGUAUUAUUUCUGGGUCUAUUAUUCUGUAUGUGUUGGAGAGUGAUAUUCGUCUGUUGUUCCAGUGUAGUACGUUGUGUUGUAUUAUCUUAAUGUUUCUUAGAGCCAUGUUGUUUGUAUGACUUUGUUGGUGUGCGUGUGAGUGUUUUUGUGUGUUACUGUGUGUUUUUUGUUUUUAGUUUUUGUGUUUGCCUAGCAACUGGAGACCUUUCAUUGCACUGCCCUGUUCUUAUUUUCCUGAAUACACUGUCUUCCAGUAUAGUGAAGCAGUCUUUCAACACUAUAUCACCUUUUUUGAUUAGUCCUAUCACUUCGUGAGAUUUCAUGGUUGGUUCAUUGUAGGUGUAUUUAUAUGUUCCAUCCUCUAUUCCUUUUAUCAGAUGACCCAUUGUGAUGUUUUUAGGCCAUCCCUGGCUCUCUCUUGUUAUUAUUUUAAGUUCUAUUUCAUCGCUGUCAAGUUGUUUCUUUGUGUUUGUUUGUGUUUUUUGUUUGGUAGAAACUUGUUGGGUGUGUGUGUCUAGUGUUGUUACAUUUUGUUGUUGAUCUGUUUGUGUGUCUGUUAGUAGGUCUUCAGUUUCCAUUAAGGAUAGUUUUUCUGUGUCGGCUAGAAGUGAGAGGAGUUUUGAGGAAUUAGGUGUCUUGGGUAUUUUUAUUUGGGGAAGUUUAUUUUCCUUUAGAGUGGCAUUAAGUUCUUUCUCAUAGCUUCCUGGUUCUAUUACAUUCAUUAGAUGAGCGUGUAUCAUGCAAGAGUAUAUUUUGAAAUGGUCUUCUCUGCUGAUUUGUGUUGAUGUGCUGUUAUUCAUUGUGGGGAUGUUGUUUGUCUUUGUUAUCUGGGAGUAUGAUGCUGUCUCCUUUUCUUCCUCUCUCUUCAUCUUUAUUACAUCUUUUCUUAUUUUGCAUCUCAUAGAUAGUGUUCUGUGGUUUUCUCCACAAUUGAUGCAUUUUUUGCUCUCUUUGUUGCAUGAUUUCCACGUGUGCCCUUCCUCAGCACACUCGGAACAUAUUUUAUAUUCUUUAUGCUUUGUACAGUCUUUUGUAGUGUGAGAUUCUAUCAUGUAGCAUCUGAAGCAUGUUUGGAUGUGAUAAAAUUUAUCUUGCUGGAUUUGGUAAUGUGGAAUUUUCAUGGAAAAAAGCUUUAGUCCAUGUUCUGUAGCUUUAGAGGCAUAGAUUGCCUGAGAAAAUGUUAUUUUAAUUGUUUUAGAGUUAGGGAACUUGAAAACAUUAUCAAUAUUGCCUUCCAGGAAUGAAUUUUGAGUAUACAAUUCAUUUAAUAUGUCGUCUUCAGAGUUGUAGAUGUGUGCAUUAACAUUAAAGGCUAUGACUGUUUUCUUUGCUUUCAGUUCUGGUGGUAUUACUGGAUUCAUGUCUUCUUGGGAGAAUUCUUCCUUAAUCUUGUCCUUGAAUAUCUUUUCUUGCUCUUCAUCUGACGAGACGAUGAUGAAUCCAUCUUGGACUGGAAUUAUGUUGGUAGGGAAGACAUCAUUGUUGCUGAGUAUUGUUAGGAGAGUGUUCUUUCUUCGUGGAUCUUGGCUGUUUGUUGUUUUUAUUUUUACUCUCGCCAUUUUUCACAUGAUAAAAACAAUAAUUCCUAUAAGGGGGCCGAGGCCCGACAAUAACCCACAGCUAAUAAAUGGAUAGAAAAAAAAGAAAGAGAAGGAGCCUGCCUAUGUGGGGCAGUUUAGUCACCCAGCUCCUAAAAGCUGUCGUAAUGGCCCUGCCCCACGACCUAGCCCUAGCAGAGAUUUCCUCUGAAGGAGGGGAAAGGAAAUAUCAAGUUGGAGGUAAAGAGGGAGGCUUACCCAGCAGCCUUCUAAGCCAGAGCCAACAGAUCCACCUAGUUACCGAGGGUCACUCUCGGGAACGUUCUGGGUCCGCUCACUGCAGUCUGGCAAAGAACGAAGCUGGGAGCAAGGAAGGGAAAGAGGAGGAUGGCGAGGAACCACAGGGCGAGCUCUCAACCGGACAGGGAGAGCUCCGGUACACAGUGGGACCUGGGAAGGCAGCUGGUGUUCUUCCGUCUAUGAUCACCUAGCUCCUUGACUCGGUGGCGAGUAAGUACGAGGCGGCGAGAGCUGCUGUCCAGCACUUUCACUCAGCGGCCUGGCGGGCGAGCUACGGUGUCUGUUCUCUGCUCUGUCGCUCUGUCGUGCCUGCCUGCUUAGCAAGUCUCUGUGCAGCAUGUUGUAUAUCCAAGCCAUGGACAGGUACACCUGCUCUCUCCUGGGUAUACCAUUUAUUAGCUUCAGCAAGGUUAUCCAUGGGAAGCUGUCUGUUCUGGUACACCUCCUUACUUUUCUUCCCACUUUCCAUCUCCCUUUGUCUUCCUGGCCUUGAUAAUAUCAUGAAGUGUUGUUUUCUUCAGGCCAUACUUGUCCAUCAGUUGAGCAUGUGACAUGUCCCUCUCAUGGUCCUGGAUUAUCUCAAACUUCUGAUGCACAGAGAGAAUCUUUUCUCCCUUUCUCCAUGAAGCAUGAGACGGUGAUGGAGUCUUACAAGAUGUGGUGGGAGUUUGGGAAGACAUUGUAGAUGUAUGUGUCACUGUGAGUGAGAGAGAGCACAUUAGCGAGGUACCACACUCUGUGAUAACCAGCCACACACUGAGCUGUGUUCAGUCAGCCCAGCCUAGGCCUGCGCCAGUAGUCAGCUUACCCAAGGGAUAUGCACAGCGUCACUGGCAUGUUUGGUCAACUUUCAAACUUGUCGAAUAAACCAAACAUAUGAUGAUGAUAAGUGCAAAUCGCAAGCACGAGGAUCCUUACAGCCUAGAAAUUCACAAUGCACCACCAACUCUGGACACAAUGGCUCGUCUUGAGCGCUACAUCCCACCCCUGUACAAGUCCUGGAGCAAACGGCCCUGAAGUUGCCCCCUUUGAAAUCCUGGAUAAGAAGGACCUGGUGACGUGGGAUACAAGAGGCUAGAGGGGACACAGCAGAAUUAAUAUCAACAAAAUACAACAUAAAAUCUCACUAGAAAGCAAAAUUAAUAAUAAAUACAAAAAACAAACUCAUCUUGACAUUUUGAGGUCGACGCCACAACGGUCAGAUUCUGGAAGCGUAAGCAAGGAGUGUGUCACCAUGCUGCGGAACAAGCCGAUCCGAGGCGCCCCAUUGGACUUCACAGGCGUCCUUUAAGAGACUGGAAUAUGUGUGGCCAUACCUGGCAGUGUAGAGGCUGUGCACAGCGUACACAGCAUGGGGACAGUGAAAGCCCCCUAAAGACACCACACUCUUGCAGGCACCACUUUGAAGGCCCAGACAAGAGGAACAGUUGUACCUCUUCACCUCCCUGGCAGCCUGGCUCAUCUGCAUCUGGAGGCCCCACAACAAUGUGACCACCCAAACUCCACUGUGUCAGCCAUUUGUGACCAGCUUAGGCACCUGCCUCUCCUUACCCUAGUGGUGGUGGUGGUGGUGGUGGUGACGUGGAGGAUGAGACGGGCAGCGCCGGACAAGGUGGAGGAGGAGAUGGCGGCGGCGGAGUACAGGGAGCAAGAGGAAGGGGAGGAGGAGAACGAUUUACGUGUGAACGACCCCAGGGAUUUGAAUGAACAGAAGACACACACAACUGAGCAGACGCAGGAGCACCGAGGGAGGGCCUCCACGGACAAGCACCUGGUUAGCCUGCACUGGGAAAUCACCUGCAGUCUGUAGAAGAUUGUCCCCUGGGAAAAGUACCUAAUCUGCCACUAGAACCAUUAAAACACCCUUAAAACCUGUGUCAUUUUAACUAGAGGCUUUUGAAAGUAAUGGAGCUCCUCAAGAGUAUUUCUCCUGUUAAUAAUGUAGAAAUAUUGCUAAUCUGUUACUAGAACCAUUAAAAUUCCCUUAAAAUUUUGUGUCCCUUCAACUAGAGGCUUUUGAAAGUAAUGGAGGUUCUCAAGAGUGUUUCUCCUGUUAAUAAUGUAGAAAUAUUGCCAAUCUGUCACUAGAACCAUUAAAAUUCCCUUAAAAACCUGUGCCACAAUAACCAGAGCCUUUUGAAAGUAAUGGAGGUUUUCAAGAGCGUUUCUACUGUUAAUAAUGUAGAAAUAUUGUUAAUCUCACUAGAACCAUUAAAAUUCCCUUAAAAACCUGUCACUUUAACCAGAGCCUUUGGAAAGUAAUGGAGAUUCUCAAGUGUGUUUCUACUGUUAAUGAUGUAGAAAUAUUGCUCUGUCACUAGAACCAUUAAAAUUCCCUUAAAACCUGUCAUUUUAACUAGAGCCCCUGGGAAAAGUACCUAAUCUGCCACUAGAACCAUUAAAACCCUUAGAAACCUGUGUCAUUUUAACUAGAGGCUUUUGAAAAUAGUGGAUGUUUCCUGCCCCUGGCCGAGUAACAUUUUGGCAAGAAAGUUCACUGUAAAUUGUCUUUGCUUGUUGGGGAAAGGAGAGCUCAUCACAGCAUGACUCGCUCUCUGUACUGCACGUGGAGUAACAAUGUAUAUGAAACGUUAAAUUCCUCAUGCAUCUGCAAGAAAACAAUAUGUUAGUGCGCCAUAAUAUUGCAAAAAUGAGAUGCCUCAGACCGCCCAGGGAUAUCUACGUGGGCCGCAGUGUGCAGACGAUUCCCUAUGACUGUGUCCUCGUCUCGCUCUGUUUCAUGACAGCUCAAAUUUGUAUAUUUGUAGCCUUACUAGGGAGAAGAUCAACCAAAGGAUAAUAUCAAAGCUUCUCUGUUUUUUAUUACAAGUAAGUAUAUUCAGUGUUCAUGUUAAUGCAAGAAAGUUACAUAAAGACGAAGUCAAAGCCAAAACGAGAUAUACCAUUGUGGAAAUAAUACAUAUUUUUCUCAU